AAUUAUUUGCAUUUUUAAAGCGUUCCGUAAUAUUUGAAAGAUCUUCUGUUUCCGCGUCGAGUUUUCGCUGAACGGUCCCCUGAAAAGCUCAGUCGCCAUUGUUGUCAUCGCAAAACGCAAACCAACGAAACAAGUCCGAUCAAGCAGUCGCGAAAAAUUUCUAUCCCAAAUCGUUUGCUGAAAUGGACCGUUUUUGGAGAAUCGGCCAAUAUUGGUCUCGGGUUUUCCGGGACAAGUUACGAAUCUCGAUUUUGGAGAAAACCACCUUGUUGUGGUUGGUCCGCUGAAACAGGAGGCUGCCGGAACUGAUUCCGAUAACCAAGUGACAAAGGUUAGACGUUUUUGUUUUGAGGACAUCGACACCAGUGGAGAGCAGCUAACCGCCGGCAGCCUUACCAAUUUCUAUCCGGAAGUGCCAACUGGGUUGCUGCAAGGAUAUUUUAGGCGGAGAGCGGAGUUAAAGUUAUAUUUAAAGUGCAGUGAUUAUUUUACAGUGCUUAGUUUAUAAAAUGCAAUGUCGUUAUCAUUAUUUUUAUGAAUAAAGAUCCUUUUGUUUUGUUGUUUUCUUUAAUAAAAGUAAACAAUUCGUUUACAAUA